rnacentral:rRNA from 1 species
UACGUAGGGUCCGAGCGUUGUCCGGAAUUAUUGGGCGUAAAGGGCUCGUAGGCGGUCCGUCACGUCGGGAGUGAAAACUCAGGGCUCAACCCUGAGCGUGCUUCCGAUACGGGCGGACUAGAGGUAUGCAGGGGGAGAACGGAAUUCCUGGUGUAGCGGUGGAAUGCGCAGAGUAUCAGGAGGAACACCGGUGGCGAAGGCGGUUCUCUGGGCAUUACCUGACGCUGAGGAGCGAAAGCAUGGGGAGCGAACAGG